GCCAGCAGCUAUAUCACCCUGCAGCUCUCAACUGGCUAUUCACUGAAGCUACAGUAAGCAGGGUUAAGCCUGGUUAGUACCCAGACAGGAGACCUCCUGGGAAGGUAUUGGUGGUGUUAGUG
rnacentral:rRNA from 1 species